rnacentral:rRNA from 1 species
UUGGAGGGCAAGUCUGGUGCCAGCAGCCGCGGUAAUUCCAGCUCCAAUAGCGUAUAUUAAAGUUGUUGCAGUUAAAAAGCUCGUAGUUGAAUUUCGGGAUUAGUACGUUGGUCGUGCCUUAGGUACGUACUGGUGUUACUGGUUCCUACCUUCUGACGAACCAUCAUGUCAUUAAUUUGGUGUGGUGGGGAAUCAGGACUGUUACUUUGAAAAAAUUAGAGUGUUUAAAGCAGGCUCGCGCUUGAAUACAUUAGCAUGGAAUAAUGAAAUAGGACG